rnacentral:rRNA from 1 species
UACGUAGGGGGCAAGCGUUGUCCGGAAUCAUUGGGCGUAAAGCGCGCGUAGGCGGCCCGGUUAGUCCGCUGUAAAAGUCAAAGGCUCAACCUUUGAAUGCCGGUGGAUACUGCCGGGCUAGAGUCCGGAAGAGGCGAGUGGAAUUCCUGGUGUAGCGGUGGAAUGCGCAGAUAUCAGGAGGAACACCGAUAGCGAAGGCAGCUCGCUGGGACGGUACUGACGCUAAGGCGCGAAAGCGUGGGGAGCGAACAGG